ACACGCAUGACACACUGCAUAUCAAUAAGCGGAGGAAAAGAAACUAACAUAGGAUUCCCUUAGUAACGGCGAGUGAAGCGGGAAGAGCUCAAAUUUGAAAUCUUCAAGGUUCUACCUUGACGAAUUGUAGUUUAUAGAAGUGUUUUCUGUUAGUGGAGUUUGGCAAAAGUUCUUUGGAAUAGGACAUCAUAGAGGGUGAGAAUCCCGUAUUUGACCAUUUCUUCCAGCUGUGUGAUACACUUUCAAAGAGUCGGAUUGUUUGGGAAUGCAGUCCAAAAUGGGUGGUAAAUUUCAUCUAAAGCUAAAUAUUGGCGAGAGACCGAUAGCGAACAAGUACCGUGAGGGAAAGAUGAAAAGAACUUUGAAAAGAGAGUUAAACAGUACGUGAAAUUGUCAAAAGGGAAGCGUUUGACACCAGUGUUGUUUUCUCGAAAAUCAAUUACGAAUGUUUUAUUUUUGAGAAGUUAUGACUUCAUCGGCUUGCUUCUCUCUUUAUGAAACUUUCUUAAUGCACUCUUCGGUUAACAAGUCAACAUCAAUUUCUUUUGUUGUAAAAGGGUAUGAGGAAGGUGGCUUUCUUUUCGGAGAAAGUGUUUAUAGCCUUGUACCUCUGCAAUCGGAGAGAUUGAGGUCUGCAGCGUAGAUCCUUCGGGGUUAGAUACAUUUGUGCUAAGUUAUAGCUUUUCAUAGACAACUUGUUGACUAUGUUUAGUCUUGUAGCUUACUCGCUUAUGCUAUUUUACCUACGCUUAGGAUGUUGAGUAGCGACAUACGCAC
rnacentral:rRNA from 1 species